AAAGUCUAAAACAAAUUAUAACUAAUAUUGCAUUUUGUAUAUGAAAAUAAGUCAAUUUGAGUUGAACUUUGUAAGGAUAUAUCUAAUAUUUAAUAUAUUUAUAGAAAACUGUAUGUAAUUAAUCCUUAAAUUAUAUAUACAAUUUGAGAUGAUAUGUAAAUUUGCUACUACAUUAAUAAUAAUAGUAUAUAAAAUAGGCUAAAUUACAUAAAACCCUUCUGUCAAAAUUCAUUAUUUCAUUUUUUUUUUUAAUGUCAUUUAAUAACCUACACUUUUUUCUUUUGUAAAAUAAAAAAUAUUCACGAGUGGUACAGUGUGACUGUGAUGACAAAAUGACCAUUUUGCCCCUUACCAUUUUAGUCUCCUCCCUCAUCUUGCUGACCCGUCGCCUGGAUCGGCCGCAGUUUCUCUCCAUUUUCUUCUCCACCUGCUCCCCUUCUCCUUCUGCACCCUCGUCACCUCUCCAUUUCGGCAACAAUAGGGAGGAAAUCGAGGUGGGUGUGGAUGGAAAGGUGGGCAAUGGCAAUAAGGGCAAAGGCGAGGCGGCGAAGGAGGGCGAGGGGGUGUUUAUGGGCGCGGACGAAAAUGUGGGUGAGGGCGAGGCAGUGGAGGAAGGCGAGGCGACGAGGCGGAGGAGGACGAAACAACAGUAAAGAGGACGGAGGAUAUUUUUAGAAUAAAAAAUUUUUUAUAACGGAACCCUAACAGAUCAAUAGGGGGAGAUAAAAUAUAAAUUUUUAAAUGACAGAAGUAAAAAUAAAAAAUCAAGAUUUUACAGAAAUAUUUUUUGUAAUUUAGUCUAUAAAAUAUUAAUACGAGCAUCUAUAUCAGCAGCGCCGAUACAUUUAUAUGUGAUAAGGACAACACUUCUGAACCACCUAGAUAAUUUCCCUGUCAUUUGUGGGUUCCUUCUUGGUACCCAGAGCAGCAGGUGUUCAAUCCCAAAAAAUAUCUGACACAUGGUGAAUCAAUCACAAAUAUCUCUCAAUAAUUAGUAUUCUGUUUACCUCAGCAAUAUAACUGAUACAUUCUAAAUUUUUUCAAAAAUUUCACCUUCUCUCUCCGACGUGUUUCCAA
rnacentral:lncRNA from 1 species